rnacentral:rRNA from 1 species
GACGAACGCUGGCGGCGUGCUUAACACAUGCAAGUCGAGCGGUAAGGCCUCUUCGGGGGUACACGAGCGGCGAACGGGUGAGUAACACGUGAGUAAUCUGCCCUCCACUUCGGGAUAACCAUCGGAAACGGUGGCUAAUACCGGAUAUGACUCGUCCCUGCAUGGGGGUGGGUGGAAAGUUUUUUCGGUGGAGGAUGUGCUCGCGGCCUAUCAGCUUGUUGGUGAGGUAACGGCUCACCAAGGCUUCGACGGGUAGCCGGCCUGAGAGGGUGGCCGGCCACACUGGGACUGAGACACGGCCCAGACUCCUACGGGAGGCAGCAGUGGGGAAUAUUGGACAAUGGGCGGAAGCCUGAUCCAGCAACGCCGCGUGAGGGAUGACGGCCUUCGGGUUGUAAACCUCUUUCAGCUCCGACGAAGCGCCCGUGAGGGUGGUGACGGUAGGUGCAGAAGAAGGACCGGCCAACUACGUGCCAGCAGCCGCCGUAACAC